UGCCGAUGAUGAAAUUUUUCUGUCAAUCCACAGAGUCCGCAAGGGCCUGAUGAGACAAUAACCCUCUAAGAAGUCCUGAGGCA
rnacentral:snoRNA from 1 species